UACGGAGGGUGCGAGCGUUGUUCGGAAUCACUGGGCGUAAAGCGCGUGUAGGCGGCCCAUUAAGUCUGAUGUGAAAGCCCGGGGCUCACCCCCGGAAGUGCAUUGGAAACUGAUGGACUCGAGUCCCGGAGAGGAGAGUGGAAUUCCUGGUGUAGCGGUGAAAUGCGUAGAUAUCUGGAGGAACACCGGUGGCGAAGGCGGCAUCCUGGACCAACACUGACGCUGAGGAGCGAAAGCCAGGGGAGCAAACGGG
rnacentral:rRNA from 1 species